rnacentral:rRNA from 1 species
AACGAACGCUGGCGGCAGGCUUAACACAUGCAAGUCGAGCGCCCCGCAAGGGGAGCGGCAGACGGGUGAGUAACGCGUGGGAACCUACCCUUUUCUACGGAAUAACGCAUGGAAACGUGUUCUAAUACCGUAUACGCCCUUUGGGGGAAAGAUUUAUCGGAGAAGGAUGGGCCCGCGUUGGAUUAGCUAGUUGGUGGGGUAAAGGCCUACCAGGGCGACGAUCCAUAGCAGGUCUGAGAGGAUGAUCAGCCAAAUUGGGACUGAGACACGGCCCAAACUCCUACGGGAAGCAGCAGUGGGGAAUAUUGGACAAUGGGCGCAAGCCUGAUCCAGCCAUGCCGCGUGAGUGAUGAAGGCCCUAGGGUUGUAAAGCUCUUCCACCGGAGAAGAUAAUGACGGUAUCCGGAGAAGAAGCCCCGGCUAACUUCGUGCCAGCAGCCACCGCAGUAA